rnacentral:rRNA from 1 species
AUACGUAGGGUGCAAGCGUUAAUCGGAAUUACUGGGCGUAAAGCGUGCGCAGGCGGUUUUGGAAGACAGUGGUGAAAUCCCCGGGCUCAACCUGGGAACUGCCAUUGUGACUGCAAGGCUGGAGUGCGGCAGAGGGGGAUGGAAUUCCGCGUGUAGCAGUGAAAUGCGUAGAUAUGCGGAGGAACACCGAUGGCGAAGGCAAUCCCCUGGGCCUGCACUGACGCUCAUGCACGAAAGCGUGGGGAGCAAACAGGAUUAGAUACCCUGGUAGUCCACGCCCUAAACGAUGUCAACUGGUUGUUGGGGAUUUAUUUUCUCAGUAACGAAGCUAACGCGUGAAGUUGACCGCCUGGGGAGUACGGCCGCAAGGUUAAAACUCAAAGGAAUUGACGGGG